GUGCCAGCAGCCGCGGUAAAACGUAGGAGCCAAGCGUUAUCCGAAUUCACUGGGCGUAAAGCGCAUGCAGGCGGUCCGGUAAGUUGGAUGUGAAAUCUCCCGGCUCAACUGGGAGAGGCCGUUCAAUACUGUUGGACUAGAGGGCGACAGAGGGAGGUGGAAUUCCGGGUGUAGUGGUGAAAUGCGUAGAUAUCCGGAGGAACACCAGAGGCGAAGGCGACCUCCUGGGUCGUACCUGACGCUCAGAUGCGAAAGCUAGGGGAGCGAACGGGAUUAGAUACCCUAGUAGUCC
rnacentral:rRNA from 1 species